CAGUAAACAAAUUCACGAUUAAAAUAAUAGGGUAUCUAAUCCUAGUCUUUUUAUAAUUUUCUGA
rnacentral:tRNA from 1 species